rnacentral:rRNA from 1 species
UCCUACGGGAGGCAGCAGUGAGGAAUAUUGGACAAUGGGGGCAACCCUGAUCCAGCCAUGCCGCGUGCGGGACUAAGGCCCUAUGGGUCGUAAACCGCUUUUGUUGGGGAGCAAUAAGGCGUACGUGUACGCCGAUGAGAGUACCUGGCGAAUAAGCAUCGGCUAACUCCGUGCCAGCAGCCGCGGUAAUACGGAGGAUGCGAGCGUUAUCCGGAUUUAUUGGGUUUAAAGGGUGCGCAGGCGGAACUGUAAGUCAGUGGUGAAAUACCCGCGCUCAACGUGGGCCGUGCCAUUGAUACUGCAAUUCUGGAGUACUGUUGCCGUGGGAGGAAUGGGUAGUGUAGCGGUGAAAUGCAUAGAUAUUACCCAGAACACCGAUUGCGAAGGCAUCUCACGAAGCAGUCACUGACGCUGAGGCACGAAAGCGUGGGGAUCGAACAGGAUUAGAUACCCUGGUAGUCC